ACAGCCCAAUGGUAGGGCGUCAGACUUCUAUUCUUCUUAUUCUUCUAAAAGUUCAUCUGAAGGCUGCGGGUUCGAGCCCCGCCGGGGGUA
rnacentral:tRNA from 1 species